CGUUGGGCGAACCUGCCUCAUACAGAGGGAUAAUCAUGUGAAAACGUGACUAAUACCGCAUGUCGUUUCGGGAGGGCAUCCUCCUGAAAGAAAAGGAGCAAUCCGGUAUGAGAUGGGCCCGCAUCUGAUUAGCUAGUUGGUGAGAUAACAGCCCACCAAGGCGACGAUCAGUAGCCGACCUGAGAGGGUGAUCGGCCACAUUGGGACUGAGACACGGCCCAA
rnacentral:rRNA from 1 species